rnacentral:rRNA from 1 species
UUGAUCCUGGCUCAGAAUCAACGCUGGCGGCGUGCCUAACACAUGCAAGUCGAACGCGGUUAUCACUGCUCCGCAAGGAAUGGUGGUAACUGAGUGGCGUACGGGUGAGUAACACGUGGGUGAUCUACCUCUGAGUGGGGGAUAACGUUUCGAAAGGAGCGCUAAUACCGCAUGACGUUCCGGGUUUGAAGACCGGGAAUCCAAAGUCGGGGACCGCAAGGCCUGGCGCUUGGAGAGGAGCCCGCGCCUUAUUAGCUAGUUGGUGAGGUAAUGGCUCACCAAGGCGACGAUCAGUAGCCUGCCUGAGAGGGCGGACGGCCACACUGGGACUGAGACACGGCCCAGACUCUUACGGGAGGCAGCAGUGGGGAAUUGUUCGCAAUGGGCGCAAGCCUGACGUCGCAACGCCGCGUGGAGGAUGAAGGUCUUCGGAUUGUAAACUCCUGUUGUCCGGGACGAAUAAGCAGCGACCUAACACGUCGAGGCAAUGACGGUACCGUUUGAGGAAGCCACGGCUAACUCUGUGCCAGCAGCCGCGGUAAUAAGGU